AGAAAAUAGAAUGGUUGUUGAGUAGAUAACCCAUAGUGUCUACUAUACUAUGUGUUUUCUGGGAAAAAAAAAAAGUCUUCUUUUUCUUUACUUUAAAAAAAUAUUUAGACUUUUUAUAUAUCUUCAAGUAAGCAUUAAAUAAAUCUCUCAGUUCCAAUUCAUAUGCUUCUCAAUAUGGUGUGUUUAUGAGACCAUGUUUCUAUUUAACUUUUCAGCCAUGAAGAGGAUGUUUGUUAGUGUUCAGUUUUCAAUGCGCCGACCACAGAUAACUGUAUUCCAAUCUCACUGUGCUGAUAAUGCCCUGCAUUUACUAAAGCUAUGUGAAAACUGAAUUGAAGAGGAGGAGACAUAGAAGCAGGAAGACCAGCUAGGAGACCAGGGUAAGAAGAGAGGAAGACAUGACAAGAAUCCGACAUAUCACAUGUGAGUAGAAAUGGAAAAAAAUCAGUUUAGUGAAAAAACUGUAACACUACAAGGAUAACAAGAAAAAUAUGAGAAAGUUACAGUUUUGAUGACCUAAAGAUCCAUAUCCUCACACCCUCUGCUGUCAUUUUCACCAUCCCUAAAAUGGUGUCCCCAAGAUAUCCCUGUCUUCCACAUGGCCCUUGAGAUGAUAUGAAAGGAUAACAGUGGAUACUCCCUUCUCUCCAGUGGGCAGUCUGCUUCUGUGGGGCCAGUCCCCUUUGAGGGACACUUCUUUAUCAUUUCCCAAUUAUUUGUCUGUAAGGGAACCUAUAGAGUUUAGCCCCAGGUCAUUUCAAGAACUCAUGUUGUAUUAGUAAAAUCAAUUAUAAAACACAAUGGCAGGGCACUGUGGAAGCUAAGCGACUGAUUAAAUUUUUCAGUUUUCAAUCCCCAGAAUAGGUUUUUGGAAGAAGUAUUGAGUCAAGUUGUUUUAAUUGAACUAUAAAUAACUAUCACCUUUGUUUUCACUUUUAUGCCCUAGAUACUAACCAUAUAUGAAUGGAAAAAAUGGAAGGAAAGAGAGAAAAGAGUUUUCAGUAAUUUAAGUAAUUAAUUAAGCUGAAUUUUUAUAAAUGGAAUCAACUUGAAUACUCUAAGGGUGUUUGAUAUAAACAUGUCAGGUGUAAAAUAAUGAACAAGCUCUAAAAAGACCAGAAAUUCUGAUUUCCUGCAAUUAUAAAAUCAAUGCUAUUCAACAUUUUACAGAUUAUAACAGACUUUCACAGAUACCUCAUAUGUCCUGAAUUUUAGACUCCCAGCAGCAACCUUAUGAUGUAGGCAUUGUUAUUAUCCCAAUUUUACAAAUCAAGAAGUAAUUCCAUGAGGCUAAGUGACUUGCCCAGGGUGACAGAGCUAGGAGGUGAUGG
rnacentral:lncRNA from 1 species